rnacentral:lncRNA from 1 species
ACGUCCUGGGUGUCCAUGAAGGUGGACACGGGAGAUCAUCCUCCUAUCGUGCAGAAUCCUUACCGUCUGUCACGAACGGAGAAAGCCGCCGUUGAUGCUGAGAUGCGGCAGAUGCUACAGGACGGGAUCAUUGAAUUGUCCAACAGUCCUUGGGUGUCUCCAGUAGUAGUCGUUCCCAAGAAAAACGGAGAACUCCGGCCCUGUGUAGAUAUGCGGAGGGUCAACGACGUCACUAAGGACAUCCGGUUUCCGAUAGGCCACAUCCAGGAUAUUUUGGAUAUUGCUGCACCUCCGGGUGGCGAGACUCGUUACUACUCCAGCCUGGACUUGAAGUCGGGCUACUGGCAAGUCCCGAUGGCGGACGAGGCUUCUAAGGAGCGUACGGCAUUUGCCACGCCCACAGCUCAGUAUCGAUAUGUACGAAUGCCCAUGGGUCUAAAGGGGGCAGCCGCCGUGUUCGCUACCCUGAUGCACAAGGUUCUGGGCCCACUACUAGAGGAUUCGCCUCCACCCCCUGCUUCAUCGGAUAGCCCACCGCGGGAACGGUGUGUAGUGGUUUAUCUGGAUGAUAUCCUUAUCUUCAGCCCAACACUACAAGAUCAUGUACGACAUCUUCAGCAAGUGUUCGACCUUCUCCGAAUGGCUGGUCUCAAGAUCGCAGCUAAGAAGUGCACGUUUGGCCAACAACGCGUGGUUUUCCUUGGUCAUCUACUUGACGGAGUACGUGGUGUCGUGGGACCUAACCCCACCAACGUCAUGAAAAUUGCAGAACUUCCGUCGCCAUCCAAUGUUCGCGAAGUACGAGCAUGGCUGGGAGCUGUUGGUUACUACCGGGAACUUAUCCCUGGCUUCGGCUUGAUUGCACAACCAUUGUAUGCGCUACUUAAGCAGGGGACACCCUGGUGCUGGGGUCCAAGAGAAGAAGACGCUUUUCAAGAGCUACGUAAUGCUUUGCUGGGGGAGCCUGUUCUCCGCGCACCUGGUUUCCGACGCCCGUUCUUGGUCCAAGUCGACUGGUGCCGCACUGCCGUCGCCGCGUGCCUGGCCCAGCAGGACAACAAAGGAUAUGAAUACGCCGUUCAGUUUGCUAGUAAGGCUAUGACUGGCCCACAGCUGAAUUACAGCGCGGCAGAUGGAGAGGCCUACGCUGCCUUAUGGGCAAUUAAACACUUUCACCCCUACUUGUACGGCACUCAUUUUGUACUCAUCACGGAUUCGAUGGCGGUUCGGUCUUUGCGGACUGCACGCGCUCGAGAUCUUCUGGGAAAGCUGGCUCGAUAUGCGCUCAAGCUUCAAGCCUACGACUUUUAAGUGAUGCAUAAGGCCGGACGCAAGAAUUCAAACGUGGAUGGUUUGAGCCGCUUGGGACAUCUGAUGGAGCCCCACCGUAAUUUGCCUACAGAGAUCGACCCCAGUCCGGACCCACUUGAGGAUGCCGCCAUCUUGGCAUGCUCAAUUGCAGCCGUCGCCUCCGAGGUUCAGAUCCUCAUAACUGAACAGGAAGAGGAGUGUAGCCGCGGCAUCAGACCGGAUGAGCCGUCCACAGUGGCUGUACACCAGCCUCCGGCUCUAUCGUUGCCUACACCAGAGCACAACCCCUUGCGUGAAGCAACCAGACCCCUGGUCCCGCUUGGCAAGCGACGCUUGGAUAGGUCAGCUCGUCUGACAUCUGGAGCACCAGAUGAGACAC